rnacentral:rRNA from 1 species
AGACUUUGAUUUUGGGUCAGAUAGAAGGCGAGCGGCACUUAUAAUACAUGCUAGUCGAGUGGGUAAGAACCACGGCAAACAGGUGAGUAAAGUUUUGGGGUGAAUCAACUGGGCCUGUAAAUUGGGUAAAAUUUAUUGUCAAUUGAUGAGCCGGGAUUGUAUUAGGUAGAAGGUAAGGGAAGAGCUUGCCUUGCCGAUGAUGCAUAGCCGAAAGGCCACACUUCCACUGAAACAAGGGGGAGACUUAGGCAGCAGUAGAGAAUAUUGUGCAAUGAACGAAAGUUUGACACAGAGAUGUCGCUUAAACAGAAAUGUAGCAGACUGUCCAACAUACGUGCCAGCAGACGCGGUAAAACGUAAGGUCUGAGUCUUUAUCCGAAAUAGGCGUAAAGGGUGUGUAGGCACUAAAUAGAGUUUUGUCAGGUAAAUAGAACUUUUAUGUGAGUGGUAAAAUGCUUUUAGAUAAAAUGGAAUACCGGAGGCGAAGGCGAUUUACUGAAAAANUUNGUCGCUGNAACACGAAAGUGUAGGGAGCAAACAGGAUUAGGUACCCUGGUAGUCUACACUGUAAUUAGAAUAUGAGAUGGUGUUCUGUCAGAAAGAACUUGAUACAUUCCGCCUGAAUAGUACGAUCGCAAGAUUAAAAUUCAAAAAAUUUGGCGGUUCAUUAUCCAAUUAGAGGAGCGUGUUGUUUAAUUCGAUAUUACGCGAUUAACCUUACCAAAACUUGCAUAUAAAAUUAUGGAACGAUCCAGUGUAUGGAUGUUCAUCGAUUACAGGUAUUGCAUGGCCGUCGUCAGCUUGUGUUGUGAAAUCAAUAAAACGAGCGCAACCCUUGUUAAAAUUCUUGAUUCCCGCGAAUUCGUUGAUAGGGCUUACCUCCAACGAGGACGUCGUCAGGUCCCUAUGGGCAUUAUUUUUNAAUGAGGAUGUCGUCAGGUCCCUAUGGUCCUUAUGUUUUGGGCUAUUUAUGCGCUACAAUCUUAUAUACAAGAGGAAAAAUUAAUCUUAAAGUAUAAGUUUGGAGGAUGGCCUGAAAUGGUUGUCUGAAAUUGGAUUUAAUAGUAAUCAAAGAGUAGAGCGCUUUGGUGAAUAUGGCUCUGGUGUUCGUACAAAUCGCCCGUCACCUCGUCCCAGUUGAGUUUUCUUUAAGUACAAAAGAAGGGUUUNAAAAAAUNAGGUGGUUUCUUUAUAAUAAAAUUUUAAUCUUUUAAGUCGUUUUUUGUAUCAGGAGAAUUUUACAAGGUUGAGUAAGUCGUAACAGAGUUGCGGUACUGGAAAGUGUCGCAAGAUUUAG